rnacentral:rRNA from 1 species
UACGAAGGGGGCUAGCGUUGCUCGGAAUGACUGGGCGUAAAGGGCGCGUAGGCGGUUUGGACAGUCGGAUGUGAAAUUCCUGGGCUCAACCUGGGGGCUGCAUUUGAUACGUUCGGACUAGAGUGGGGAAGAGGGUCGUGGAAUUCCCAGUGUAGAGGUGAAAUUCGUAGAUAUUGGGAAGAACACCGGUGGCGAAGGCGGCGACCUGGUCCUUGACUGACGCUGAGGCGCGAAAGCGUGGGGAGCAAACAGG